GCCGCUUGAAAUCCGCGUGUACCAGGACUGGUGCCGAGGGCGUCUGUGAGCGGACCGGCCAUCUCAGCAUAGUUUUUCAUAAAGCGCUGGUACCAGUCCGCAGUUCCCAGGAAACUACGCAAUUCUCGAACAGAUCGCGGCUCGGGAAUGCGCAAAAUGGCCGACACACGAUCCGGAUCCAUCUUCAGCGCUCCUCCUCCCACUAUAAAUCCCAGACGCUCGGCAACCUGUCGCAGAAUCUUCACGUGCGUUUGGAAGUCCUCAGCUAUAAUCAGCAAGUCGUCGAGAUACGCAUAGACGUUUGAACGCAUCUCAACUGGAAUCACCUUAUCGACCAGUCUACAUAGGCGUUGUGCGGCGUUGCAGAGGCCAAUGGGCAUCAUACGGAACUGGUACAGAGGCCGUCCCGGCACCGUGAACGCCGUAUAUGGUCGACUCUGCUCGUCCAGCUCGAUUUGCCAAAAAGCGAAUUUUAAGUCGACGCU